GACGUAGGAUGCAAGCGUUGUCCGGAUUUAUUGGGCGUAAAGAGUUCGUAGGCGGUUCGUUAAGUCUGAUGUUAAAGACUGGGGCUCAACCCCGGGAGUGCAUUGGAUACUGGCGGACUGGAGUGUGGUAGAGGCUAGUGGAAUUCCCAGUGUAGCGGUGAAAUGCGUAGAUAUUGGGAAGAACACCAGUGGCGUAGGCGACUAGCUGGGCCAUAACUGACGCUGAGGUGCGAAAGCGUGGGGAGCAAACAGG
rnacentral:rRNA from 1 species